GGAAGUAAAAGCCGUAACAAGGUCUCCGUUGGUGAACCAGCGGAGGGAUCAUUACCGAGUGCAAACUCAUAACCCUUUGUGAACCUAUAUCUGUUGCUUCGGCGGCUCGCUCUCGGGCGAGCCCGCUGGUAAUAUCAGUAUCUCUGUUUGAACCCGACGAUACUUCUGAGUGUUCUUAGCGAACAGUUAAAACUUUUAACAACGGAUCUCUUGGCUCUA
rnacentral:misc_RNA from 1 species